rnacentral:rRNA from 1 species
CCUACGGGAGGCAGCAGUGAGGAAUAUUGGUCAAUGGGCUCGCGCCUGAACCAGCCAAGUAGCGUGAAGGAUGACUGCCCUACGGGUUGUAAACUUCUUUUAUAAAGGAAUAAAGUGAGGCACGUGUGCCUGUUUGUAUAUACUUUAUGGAUAAGGAUCGGCUAACUCCGUUCCAGCAGCCGCGGUAAUACGGAGGAUACGAGCGUUAUCCGGAUUUAUUGGGGUUAAAGGGGGCGUAGAUGGGUUGUUAAGUUCGGCGGGAAAGUUUGCGGCUCAACCGUAAAAUUGCAAUUGAUACUGGCAUUCUUGAGUACAGUUGAGGUAGGCGGAAUUCGUGGUGUAGCGGUGAAAUGCUUAGAUAUCACGAAGAACUCCGAUUGCGAAGGCAGCUUACUAA